rnacentral:tRNA from 1 species
UGCAUCGGCCGGGAAUCGAACCCGGGCCGCUCGCGUGGCAGGAGAGGAUUAUACAACUGAACCACCGAUGG